GUUUGUGAAUGUUUAGUAUCCCACCACCUGUGAGGAAAUUCCUCCGAAUUCAUGCGGAAAUAGGUGUGGAAUUGAUGUGAAUUGAUUUGGUGAAUGAAAGUUUGAAUGUGCUUUUUAUUAUCACCGGUCGUUUAUGAGGAGAUGCCUCUAAAUUCUAUCGGGAGAUUUAAAUAUCACAACUGAAUUGGGCAGUUGAAGUUACAAUUUAGUGUAAUAAAUGUAAAACUGUUGAAUUAGAACAUGACCACAGCAUUAUAUGUUUUGUAGGAUUGUCAUGUUGUAACGAGAGAAGGUAGAAACCCUGUAUAAGUGUGGACCAAUUUUUCUUCAAAUAAACUGAUCCCACCUUUUGGAUUGGGACAACUUAAAAGACA